AAAAAAGAGAUGAAGAGAGGAGGGAGAAAAAGGGAGAAAAGGAUUUGUGUCUGUGUUCGUUUUUGGAUCUGUCUUGUUUGAAAAUUGUUUUUUGUUUGUUUCCUCUUUUUUGGUUUGCAUUUUUCGUCU
rnacentral:ribozyme from 13 species